ACCUCCAAAGAGCUUUCAUCCCCUUUCAGAAACCCUCCAAAGCUCACUCACCAUCGCGAAUUGUAGAAACCCUCCAAAGCUCACCAUCGCGAAGAAACCCUCUCACUCUCACCAUUGACCGUCGUCGCCCCCCACUCACCACUCACCCGCACUCACCACUGUUCACAUUGCUGCACUACUGACCGUCGCUCCUCUUUGCCAUCCUGAACUGAUCGUCGCUGCGCCGCCCUCACCAUCGUCAUCACCCCCAAAUCAGAAAAAAGGGCUUGCCAUCACCACUCACCAUGGCGUCACCACUCUAGGAAGACUCUGCGCUCACUCAUCUUCACCACUCAUCUUCAUCGUCGCUUCUCUUCGCUGCACGGUCACAUCACGAAGACUCUGCGCUCAACUGAAAGUCUUUCUUCAUUCGUGAGCGCAGGAGAACUCGUGAAUUUAGGGGUUUAAUUCUGUUAACGCAGGCCACUGUACAUUUUUCACUAUUUGGGAAGGAGAACAUAGCAGAUAAAGAUGUUAGUAAAAUUGUUCCAGAUACUAAUUGAUGC